AUUCAGGUGUAUUUAUCCAAAUUCUUGUCAGAUUGAUGUCUACUACGAGCACUGUGCUGUUUGUGGUCAUCACUAAUGAUUUGGAAAUGAGAUGAAUGAAGCAGUCAUCACCGUGUAAGGUAUGAUCGCAGGAUUUGUCUGGAAGCCUUCAGGCCAAGGACUGGACCCCUCCAUAAUGUGAAUCCACUUGACCUCGGUGUUUAGUAUCAUUAAACCUGUUGGGUGGUUGGAAAAAUAAUUGUUUCUGUUACUGUUGAUUUGUGAUACUAAGGAACAUACAAGAUAAAAUCAAUUUGCAGGAGUGAAUCAGCAGUGGGGAAGAAGAAGGAAGGUCCUGAGGUGAUAUUCAUGUUCCAAUUUGGGCUGGUACGGGACUCAGUAACAGCUUCAUCCAGCACCCUGGGGUUCAAGAUUCUAAAGGAUCUUGCAUGUGACUUCAUAAAUAGGAAGGCUGCCCUUGGUUGUGUGGUUGUGGAUUUUGCACGCAAGGAGGAUCCAGUGGACGUCGACAAAUCAGAACUGGCAUCACAAGUUCUGACAAUAGCUGUGCUAUACAUCUUGUUAACUGGCACUUUCGGAGCAGUGGGGAUAUGUGUGGCUGGUCCUCGCCUCCUCCAGAGAACUGUGCCACAGCAGGGCCGUUGUUCACCAUGAAUAUUUCAUUACCCAGGCUGAUGCUGGAGGCAGCAAGGACCUCUGAAAUGUCUGUAAACAUCUACAAGACUACACGGU